rnacentral:rRNA from 1 species
GACGAACGCUGGCGGCGUGCUUAACACAUGCAAGUCGAACGGAAAGGCCCUGCUUUUGUGGGGUGCUCGAGUGGCGAACAGGUGAGUAACACGUGAGUAACCUGCCCUUGACUUUGGGAUAACUUCAGGAAACUGGGGCCAAUACCGGAUAGGAGCUCCUGCUGCAUGGUGGGGGUUGGAAAGUUUCGGCGGUUGGGGAUGGACUCGCGGCUUAUCAGCUUGUUGGUGGGGUAGUGGCUUACCAAGGCUUUGACGGGUAGCCGGCCUGAGAGGGUGACCGGCCACAUUGGGACUGAGAUACGGCCCAGACUCCUACGGGAGGCAGCAGUGGGGAAUAUUGCACAAUGGGCGGAAGCCUGAUGCAGCAACGCCGCGUGCGGGAUGACGGCCUUCGGGUUGUAAACCGCUUUCGCCUGUGACGAAGCGUGAGUGACGGUAAUGGGUAAAGAAGCACCGGCUAACUACGUGCCAGCAGCCGCGGUGAUACGUAGGGUGCGAGCGUUGUCCGGAUUUAUUGGGCGUAAAGGGCUCGUAGGUGGUUGAUCGCGUCGGAAGUGUAAUCUUGGGGCUUAACCCUGAGCGUGCUUUCGAUACGGGUUGACUUGAGGAAGGUAGGGGAGAAUGGAAUUCCUGGUGGAGCGGUGGGAUGCGCAGAUAUCAGGAGGAACACCAGUGGCGAAGGCGGUUCUCUGGGCCUUUCCUGACGCUGAGGAGCGAAAGCGUGGGGAGCGAACAGGCUUAGAUACCCUGGUAGUCCACGCUGUAAACGGUGGGUACUAGGUGUGGGGUCCAUUCCACGGGUUCCGUGCCGUAGCUAACGCUUUAAGUACCCCGCCUGGGGAGUACGGCCGCAAGGCUAAAACUCAAAGGAAUUGACGGGGCCCCGCACAAGCGGCGGAGCAUGCGGAUUAAUUCGAUGCAACGCGUAGAACCUUACCUGGGUUUGACAUGGAUCGGGAGUGCUCAGAGAUGGGUGUGCCUCUUUUGGGGUCGGUUCACAGGUGGUGCAUGGCUGCCGUCAGCUCGUGUCGUGAGAUGUUGGGUUAAGUCCCGCAACGAGCGCAACCCUUGUUCACUGUUGCCAGCACGUUAUGGUGGGGACUCAGUGGAGACCGCCGGGGUCAACUCGGAGGAAGGUGGGGAUGACGUCAAGUCAUCAUGCCCCUUAUGUCCGGGGCUUCACGCAUGCUACAAUGGCUGGUACAGAGAGUGGCGAGCCUGUGAGGGUGAGCGAAUCUCGGAAAGCCGGUCUCAGUUCGGAUUGGGGUCUGCAACUCGACCUCAUGAAGUCGGAGUCGCUAGUAAUCGCAGAUCAGCAACGCUGCGGUGAAUACGUUCCCGGG